GUGGGGAAUAUUGGACAAUGGGCGAAAGCCUGAUCCAGCAAUGCCGCGUGAGUGAUGAAGGCCUUAGGGUUGUAAAGCUCUUUUACCAGGGAUGAUAAUGACAGUACCUGGAGAAUAAGCUCCGGCUAACUCCGUGCCAGCAGCCGCGGUAAUACGGAGGGAGCUAGCGCUGUUCGGAAUUACUGGGCGUAAAGCGCACGUAGGCGGUUACUCAAGUCAGAGGUGAAAGCCCGGGGCUCAACCCCGGAACUGCCUUUGAAACUAGGUAGCUAGAAUGUUGGAGAAGUCAGUGGAAUUCCGAGUGUAGAGGUGAAAUUCGUAGAUAUUCGGAAGAACACCAGUGGCGAAGGCGACUGACUGGACAAGUAUUGACGCUGAGGUGCGAAAGCGUGGGGAGCAAACAGGAUUAGAAACCCCGGUAGUCC
rnacentral:rRNA from 1 species